ACUGUGACGUAAUCAUCUGGACUGUUUCUGCUUUAAAAAGAAGCUCUGAGCACCAAACAGCAGUGCAGGGCACUGGAGGAUGGACGAAAGCCUCUGGGCCCUUCGUUCCAAGGGAAACCCAGCAGGGAGAGUGCCUGGACCUGGUGGCAAGGGGCUGUGCCCCUGUGCCUGCUGGAUGCGGUGUGCAGGAUGCCUGAUGUCGGGUGCAGGAUGCUGGAUGCUGGAUGCGGGAUGCAGAAUGCAGGAAGGGGGAUGCAAGGUUUCUUCAUGGGACUGAGCUUCCGAAUGCAGAGCUGGGAAGGAUGAAAUAUAACACUAACCUUUAAGGCAUCUCCAGAAACUCAAAACGUGUCGCUGAUCAAAUGUCAAGAGCAGUGCUCUUAGAUACUUUAUCUAGGCUGUAUGAAUUGAAAAUCCAAGUGCUUUGCUACAUGUGUUAAUCGGUACGUAUCACUGAAUCAAAUCAUUAUGUAAUACGUAUGCCUUAUUCUCCCUGUUCUCCAUAUGCACAUUUCUAGGUGUUAUCAUUUUAAAAUGAAUGGCAUUUAUUUGAAAAUAUGAUGAGGGAUAUGUGCAUGACUGUAGUAUAUGGCUUUGGACUCAGUCAUCUGAGUGUGCAUGAAUAGAAAAAUGUCAAAGCUUCAUUUAAAAGUACUCUGAAACAUUUCUCUUGUGAGAACCCCUGAAUUAGUCAAUGCAGGGACCAGGAGCUACAUGCAGGGACCAGGAGACACAUGCAGGAUGUGCUUCAAGAGCCCCCAAGAAAGCUGAGCAGAGAGCAGUGCUGAGAGCCAGAACUCCUUUGGCACCAAUCUAUGCAGGGCUCAGAAAGGUCAGGGAAGAGAUUGUAUGACAUGCUGCCAGUCCCAGAAAAAUGAACUCAAUGGUCAGGAGGUGUCUGUGUUCCUGAAUGGCUGUAUCAAGCACAAGCGUAUGAUCAGAUUAACAGACCUUUUAUGGUCCUAACCAAGCAGACUGCGUGUGUGUGUACACUGAUCAUCAGCAUGGGCAUUUCCUUUGGCUUUCAGGGGCUACUUAAGUGCAUGAAGUUAAGCAAAGGUGUGACUGCAGUCUUCACAGGGGUUUUGCAAGGCCUCCGUUCCAAACCUGAGUUAAUGCAAUCGCGUCCUUGAGCCCACAUUGAAAUCGGAUCUUCAACUGCUUCUACAUGUU
rnacentral:lncRNA from 1 species